GCGUCGACCGGCGAAUGGGUGAGUAACGCGUAUCCAACCUGCCCUUAAGUAGGGAACAGCCCAGUGAAAAUUGGAUUAAUGCCCUAUGUUCUUCCACGAGGUCCUCCGAGUGGGAGCAAAGAUUUAUCGCUUAAGGAUGGGGAUGCGUCUGAUUAGCUUGUUGGCGGGGUAACGGCCCACCAAGGCAACGAUCAGUAGGGGUUCUGAGAGGAAGGUCCCCCACAUUGGAACUGAGACACGGUCCAAACUCC
rnacentral:rRNA from 1 species